rnacentral:rRNA from 1 species
GUGGGGAAUAUUGGACAAUGGGCGAAAGCCUGAUCCAGCCAUGCCGCGUGUGUGAAGAAGGUCUUCGGAUUGUAAAGCACUUUAAGUUGGGAGGAAGGGUAGUAACCUAAUACGUUGCUACUUUGACGUUACCGACAGAAUAAGCACCGGCUAACUUCGUGCCAGCAGCCGCGGUAAUACGAAGGGUGCAAGCGUUAAUCGGAAUUACUGGGCGUAAAGCGCGCGUAGGUGGUUCAGUAAGUUGGAAGUGAAAUCCCCGGGCUCAACCUGGGAACUGCUUUCAAAACUGCUGAGCUAGAGUACGGUAGAGGGUGGUGGAAUUUCCUGUGUAGCGGUGAAAUGCGUAGAGAUCGGGAGGAACAUCCGUGGCGAAGGCGGCCAUCUGGACCAGCACUGACACUGAGGCACGAAAGCGUGGGGAGCAAACAGGAUUAGAAACCCUGGUAGUCC